GUGGGGAAUCUUGCGCAAUGGCCGAAAGGCUGACGCAGCGACGCCGCGUGUGGGAUGACGGCCUUCGGGUUGUAAACCACUGUCGGAAGGGACGAAUGGCCCGCAAGGGCAGUGACGGUACCUUCAAAGGAAGCACCGGCUAACUCCGUGCCAGCAGCCGCGGUAAUACGGAGGGUGCGAGCGUUGUCCGGAAUCACUGGGCGUAAAGGGCGCGUAGGCGGCCCGGUAAGUAGGGGGUGAAAUCUUGCGGCUUAACCGCAAGGCUGCCUUCUAGACUGCCAGGCUCGAGCACAGUAGAGGCAGGUGGAAUUCCCGGUGUAGCGGUGGAAUGCGUAGAGAUCGGGAAGAACAUCAGUGGCGAAGGCGGCCUGCUGGACUGUAGCUGACGCUGAGGCGCGACAGCGUGGGGAGCAAACAGGAUUAGAAACCCGAGUAGUCC
rnacentral:rRNA from 1 species